GUUACCCAGGGCUCCCUCGGCUGCAAGCUCCACCCCAACGGCACCUCGAGGGGAUUCUGUGACGCUGCGGUGAACGGCGAGGACUUCAUCAGCUUCGACGUGGACACAGGCAAAUGGGUCAGUCGGCGGGGGGAUAAGCUGGGGAGCUACGUCCAGGAUCUUGUCAACCGGGAUAAGAGCAUAAGUUAGAAGGGGGCUUUGUCAUGAAACGUUGGGUUCGUCCUGCCAAGACUUCCCUGGAGCAUCGUGUCACGACCGACAGAACCCAGCUCCUCCCUACCCAUAAUCAACCUGGCUGGCCACUCGAUCGAUCCGCACUCUGGACUGGUAUCUAUGACAUCGACUGGCGGGACAGUGUGUGUGUGAUUGACUGCAUAUGCUAAUUGUUGUAUCUCCAAUAAACGUGGUGUGUUGCCUUUUCCCCUGAAAAA